rnacentral:tRNA from 2 species
GCCCCCAUCGUCUAGAGGCCUAGGACACCGGCCUUUCAAGCCGGCAACAGCGAUUCGAAUUCGCUUGGGGGUACCA